GGAAGAGGAAGAAGAAGAAGAAGAAGAAGAAGAAGAAGAAGAAGAAGAAGAAGAAGAAGAAGAAGAAGAAAUGUUUUCUGUUGAGAAGUGCUGUUGGUAUGGAUUAUUUAUUGACUCUUACCUAGAAAUCUUCAGAAUGCUGGUAUGUAUGGAAGAAACAGGUAGUUCUAAUAUCCUGCCUCUUUUCCUCCAGCUAUUUGGAUUUCCUGCAUCUCACUUCAGCACCCUUUAGGAAUGAAGAAUGCCAGCCUGACCAAAUCCAGAACUACACUUUCCUGGAAGCCUGGCUAAAAGUCCCAGACUGGCAAGGGGCAAGCAGCCAGCAGCGUGUGCGGGUGGCAGGCCUGUCAGUGGCCACCUCAGUGCCACCUGCUCUCACACAAAGUGAAGAAUGGAGCCACUCCGCUUCCCAGGUUAUUAAUCCAGUCACCUACAAAUUCAACUCUCUGCCCUUCAGAAGGUUCAGCUAUAAACCUUCUUGGAGUGCCAAUAUAACUUAGUUAUUAAGAAUGUGGACUUUGAAGUCAGAUCAAACUUGUUUCAAAUUCCAGCCCAGAGCUUUUGGGCUGGGUUACUUUGGAAAAGUUCUCUAACCUUUUUGAACUUCAGUUUCCUCCUCAGCAAAAAUAAUAAUAAUAAUAAAACGUACCCUACAACAUUGUUGGAGGAUUGGGUUGAAUAAUGAAUCAAAGUGUUAAGCAUAUACCUAGCAAAGAAAAUGAAGCUGGAGCCUGAGUUCAUCUCAGAGGUUGUAUACUCGCAUCCAAGAAGAGUACCCCUGUAGAAGGCAGUGGGGAGCUACAAAUAAAGAAAGACUUCAUCCCCUGUUACAUAAACCAAAGCUCUUUACUGGUGAGAAGAUAGCAAAAGCUGAAGCAGACACAGAAUCCACAAGUGGAAAAUACAGCAGUGCCAUUAAAGUUGCUGAGGGCCCGCUUUGCACCAGACACCAUUUUAAGGGAUAGAAGAGAAAACCUAAUGACAGUCUGAUUGCCGUCAAGAGGCUCACAUGUGAAAGGGAAUGAGGAGCUGCAACAAAUAGCACAAUGCGGUAAGUACUGUAAAGACGUGUGCCCAAGGCAGUAAGAGGCGCCAGUGCCUCUUUCAGAGAAGGGGAGGCAAGACUUGUGAAGCCUACAGAGAGCUAAGAUCAGGAAAUACUGGCUACAUGCUUUGUUCUCUAGGGGGAGCUCAAGGCUUUCUCCUUUGAUA
rnacentral:lncRNA from 1 species